rnacentral:lncRNA from 1 species
CAAGCUCUUUCCCUGGACUCCAGCACAGCUCUCUGCGGGAGACCACACACAGAACUUGCUAGCUUGGAAGAGAAGGCAUGUCUAAGGGCAGAAAGGUGGAGUGGAAGAAACAGGGCAGCAGCUCGAGUGGGCACAAUAAGAUGAGCUGAGAGGCCAAGGCUGAAGCAGCUCUUUUGGAGCAAGGGCCACCUCUAAAGGUGGAAAACAGACGUCAGAAGAUGAUGAAGCCAAAGAUCCCAUCACGGCUCAGCAGUUAGCGAACCCGACUAGCAUCCAAGAGGACGCAGGUUCGAUCCCUGGCCUUGCUCAGUGGCUUAAGAUUCUGGUGUUGCCAUGAGCUGUGGUGUAGGUCACAGACGCAGCUCAGAUCCAACAUUGCUGUAGCUGUGGUGUAGGCCGGCAGCCUCAGCUCCGAUUGGACCUCGAGCCUGGGAACAUCCAUGUGCCACAGGUACGGCCCUAAAAAGACUUAGAGACAAAAAAAAUAAUAGUGAUAAACGGAGGCAAAGUAUUCCUUCUAAAAAUGUGGUCAAGGGCCACAGAGGGUGUCUGAGGAGCACUAGAGAAGGAAGGGAGGGGAAAGCAGGGACCAGCUGGAUCAGACCAGACAUGAGAUGGCAGAAGACAUAAAGGAGAAACUACAACAGUGUUGCUGGGAGGAAGCCAUCCUGGGAGGCUAGACCGCAAGGUCUGCUCCAAUCUGUCAUUCACUCACUUGACCGUGGACAAGGCCCUCUUGCUCUCAACUCCCGGUCUGUCAUGUGGGAGGCAGUACUACCUGUUCUCUGUGCCCAGGUGCUAGGAUUCCAUGAGCUAAGUUCAAAAUGUCCCAGGUUGUCAACCUGGAAGACAGAGAUAGAAAGCAAGGGGAGUGCCUGAGAUCAGCAGCCAGAUGGAGGAUGUUGCAACUCACAUUAAGUCACCGAGGAUGACACAUCUGAUAGUGUUUUCCUGCAGCACCUCUUUGUUGGCAUAAUCCUUGUUGAAUAUUAGGCAACAACCUCGACAUGCCACAUGAACCUUAGGAAGUUCAGACUAUAACCAGACUAGUUCAGAAAAGUUCAAAAAAAGAACUCAACUUACUGCAGAAAUACGCUCUUAUGGGACAACUCUGGUGCCUGCCACUAAAAGCCAAGAUUUCCGUGACAGCCUCGAUUCUCUCGGAAUAUGUACACGGAGAGAAAACCUAAAAGUGUGUUACUACAUGCCCAGAAAUUAUACUCACACAAAAAAAGGCCUUAUGGAUACUGACUGAAAUGUGAUGGGCUUAUUCCCAUUAAAUUAUUGCAGGACUUUAAUCAAUAAAUCGACACUGAUGAAGUUACUUCAACAGUAACAGAAGCCAGAAAUUUUCAAAUACCUCUAAAGAAGGAAUAGUCUCUGACAGGCUGCUGGAAAUGGAUUUGCUCUUUUUUUCUGUGCAGUAACUCAGAACCACACAAAACUAUAUAGUUCUAAAUAAAGGCAAAUAGAUG